ACUAGUCUACUCAACCAUUUAUAUUAUUAUGUGUAGCUAAAGUAACCUGCUUUUUUCCCCAAACACAAAAGAAAACUAGAAAACUGUUGAAUUGUUUUAAAAUUUUAGCUAAUUUCAACAAAUUUAAGAUAGCAAAACAAAUGUAUGUAAUCAUAAAAGUCAUUUGCAUACGCUGUUAAUUUGUAGCCAUCUCAAGAAAUAAGG
rnacentral:lncRNA from 1 species